GCUAAUGUAGCUUAAUUAAAGCAUAACACUGAAGAUGUUAAGAUGGGCUUAAUUAACCCCAUGGGCA
rnacentral:tRNA from 1 species